AGAAAAUCAUGUAAAUGUAGGGGUAUAUGCUUACUUAAGAUGGUAGUGAUACAGCACUACCAGUAUUCCCAGAAACAGAGGUAAUGUAAAUGGUGUGUAUGUAUAUCUGUGAAAUGAAGUGCAAGAGCUAAAGCACAUUAAAAGCCAAAUACAAAUAAUUUGUCACAGUUGACAGAGAGUGCUUUAUUUCAUACAGAUAAUGAUGAUGAUGAUGAUGAUGAUGAGUUCGAAGAAGCUGGCUUUGAACCUUCCAGUUCUAAAAAUGCCGAAAAGGACUCAUCUACAGGCACAUCUUGUUUCAAGAACAGACUAGAAAGUGCAAGUUUAAGGGAUACGGCUGGUUUUAUAAUAAAUGAUCAGCUCUUUUGCGGGUUUUGUGGAGAUUUGUUUGUGAUUCCUUAUCAGCUUACUUAAAAAAUUACAUUUUGGUGAAUACCUCUAUCUGUAUUUAGUGUGUUUCUAGUGUGUGUGUGCCUCGUACCUCACAAUGUGUGAACAGUUAAUGUUAUAUUACACCUUUGGAUUGCAUUACUGAACUUUUUGAUUACAAUGAUUAAAUGCUGUGCGUUUUUAUCCUUAUUAUGUCGUACAACCUGUUGGUGGUCUCUGAAAAGGUAGUUACUUCAGUUAUGACUUAUGAACAAUAAUUUUGUGAACUGCUUAAAAAAACAUGUUUAUCUGUUUGGAGGUGCAAAAUCCAAUUGAUUCAAUAUACAAUACAUUGACAUGAGAUGUUUCUUUUCUGGAAGAUGUUGACGGGCAUUAUUCUAGCAAUGAGCCAUCAUUCCAGUAUGCUGAAAACAUCCCCUCAAGCUCUCCUGGUCCUAAAAAUGAGCACCAAAGGCCAAAGUGUCAGAGAUAAUGAUUGAACUGAUUCUAAAAAUGAGCCAUCCAGUAUUGGUGAAAUCGUCUCCUUCAAGCAUUCCUGGUUUCAAAAUCAGCAUCAAGGCCAAAGAGUCAGAGAUAAUGAUGAUGAUGAUGAUGACGAAGAAGCUGGCUUUGAACCUUCGAGUUCUG